CACUCUUCAUUUUGAACACACCCUCAGUGAAUAACCACCGUAACGGAAAAAUACCACCUCCAAAAUAUGCACAAGAAAGUGAAGAAACCGUAGCUCCAACUUUACCUUUAACCAAACAAACAAACUUCAUUUCCGAUCCAACUCUUCUCAACUCGCGGCCAACAACCACCAGCACAAACUCAACAAUCACCACCUUCAGUUCAUCCGAAACUCAUUCAUAACCGUACUCACCAAUCACCAUCACAGUAGCUCACAACAAUCCCUCUCCAUUUCACCGCUCUUGAGACACAGUUCCGAUCCACAUAUCUCUUACCGAUCCGAUUUUCGACGUUGACGGUUUUCUUACGAGCACUUCAAAGCAGAGUAAACGCAUAUCCAUACUACUAGAAACUCAGUGAAGCUAAAGGUGUUUUUUUCAUCUCUAAAAGUGAUUGAGAAAGGGCAUCCGACUCUCUUCGAUAGGAGGUAUACCUCACUCUUCAAGUAUGGAGAGUCUUGUAACAAGACAGAUAAUACAUCACCGAUCAAGCAGUGACUAUGAGGAGAAGUGUUCAUUGACCAUUGAGAUUCUGCGACAAGUUUGUGGAGCAGUUUUGUGCAUGGGCGAAAUUGGUAAAUAGGAGGUAUACCUCACUCUUCAAGUAUGGAGAGUCUUGUAACAAGACAGAUAAUACAUCACCGAUCAAGCAGUGACUAUGAGGAGAAGUGUUCAUUGACCAUUGAGAUUCUGCGACAAGUUUGUGGAGCAGUUUUGGGCAUGGGCGAAAUUGGUAAAUAGACUUGCCCGUUGCAAUCUUGACUGUAAGGAGCUCUUCACGGGGAUUUACAAUAUCGCAAAAGUAAUUUCUCUUCAUUUUCUGAAAUGUUGUCCGACUCUCCUAUGCGCGAAUAAAUGUAGCUCUCCAUUGCUGGGAGAAUUACAAAACAUAUGGGGAAUUUCGGCGACCUUCUCUGGGAUUUGAGGCAACAAAUCUUUAUGCAACUUAUUUAUCUAUCAUAGAGAAAAUCAUUCAAAAGUUUCCGAGUAUUUGCAAUGGGGUUGUGAUUGAGAAGGUAAUUUCAGGCUCUUCCGUUGAUUUUGUUGGGCUACGGUCCAACGAUGUAAUAGGUUGAUGUGAUGGAAAAACGAUUUACAGUUUCUUGGAGGUUCAGGAUUUGCUGUGAGGGUUGAUAAGGACACACUUACUAAGAAUCAGCUUCUGCCGAAUGUCUUGAUCAUAUUGACAUGUGCUCAUGUGUUACAUGAUGAUAAAAUAAUCAAAGUCUGCAAUUUUAACCACAAAACUAGUUUCAACGCAAGGAUACUGCGUAGGAAUCCUUGCUGGGACAACUUUAUUGGUGCUACGAAAUGCAGCAGAUAAGUUUGCUAGUGCUGAAUUUGUUGAAGACGGAAGCAUAUUACUUUCUCAGGCAUUAUUCUAUAUCGGUAACCCACACUGGUAUUUAUGGUCGUUCUUCAUUGGAUGUGUUGGGUAUAAGCACUAAUGAUGUUGUUGCUCCUUCUUGUUGUAGUAGAGAAAAGUAUUUUCCAUAAACCUGACUUGAAGAUGAAACGACAAGAUAUCUAAAAUUAGGAAACUUGGUUAAUAAGGUUUUUUUUUAUGCAAAACAAAAUUCGAUUGAAGAAAAUAGUAUGGAGAAAAUGAAAAUUUAAACCCGGGUGUUCCUGUGAUACAAUGUUGCGGCAUGAGUGCUACCCAGGGAUAUUCUGGAGGGCCUGUUUUCAACAAUGAAGGUAAGAUUAUUGGAAUGAUGUGUAUCAAUUUGGUUGAGUUUGAUAUUGUUAGCCAUGUAAGCAUGUUGAAGGCAUACAUCUAUGACCCUUAAUAUUAAGUAGUUCUGCUUUUCAAUCAUUAAAGUUAUGCCCAAGUGUAUCCGAUGGAUGAAAUUAGCCUGCAUAUGACAAGAAACAUAAGGGAACAAAUUUUAGCUUCAUUGUUCAUUCUACUAUUAUUCGGUUUAUUCUCUUAUUUUGUUAUAACAGUUUGACUUCAA